ACAUCCAGAGAAUUUAGCAGAGAUACUUUAGUGCCUUCGGGAACUCUGAGACAGGUGCUGCAUGGCUGUCGUCAGCUCGUGUUGUGAAAUGUUGGGUUAAGUCCCGCAACGAGCGCAACCCUUAUCCUUUGUUGCCAGCACGUAAUGGUGGGAACUCAAAGGAGACUGCCGGUGAUAAACCGGAGGAAGGUGGGGAUGACGUCAAGUCAUCAUGGCCCUUACGAGUAGGGCUACACACGUGCUACAAUGGCGCAUACAAAGAGAAGCGACCUCGCGAGAGCAAGCGGACCUCAUAAAGUGCGUCGUAGUCCGGAUUGGAGUCUGCAACUCGACUCCAUGAAGUCGGAAUCGCUAGUAAUCGUAAAUCAGAAUGCUACGGUGAAUACGUUCCCGGGCCUUGUACACACCGCCCGUCACACCAUGGGAGUGGGUUGCAAAAGAAGUAGAUAGCUUAACCUUCGGGAGGGCGUUUACCACUUUGUGAUUCAUGACUGGGGUGAAGUCGUAACAAGGUAGGCGUAGUGCU
rnacentral:rRNA from 1 species